rnacentral:piRNA from 1 species
UGGGGAUAAUAAUAAGCCUGCCU